rnacentral:tRNA from 1 species
GCUCGGGUCGCUUAACGGCAGAGCCUCGGUCUUACAAACCGAUGACGGGGGUUCGACUCCUCCUCCGAGCA